CCUGGCGCUGCCUGCCCUAAGGCAGCAGGGUCACUAACAGGGGACCUCAAGACUUUCAUUACUUGUGUCUCACGUCUUCACCACCCUACCUACCCCACCCGCCUUUCUGAGCAUUUGUAUUUGGCCUAAGUGAGGGUGGGGACUCCGAGGUUUCAGACUUCGGUCAGGCCAUGUGAACUUUAUGGAGGCUGAAGAGAACAGCAGGUCAGGGUGUGGGGCGUCUGCAGACAGGAGAGCUUCCAGCACCACCCCACCAGCUCGGGGUUCUUGCCGUGGCCUCCGCUAUAAGCCAGGGCUUCUAUGAUGGCUUAGUCCACUUGCAAUUCAGGAGAUCCAGGUUCAAUCCCUGGUUCAGGAAGAUCCCCUGGAGAAGGAAAUGGCAACCCACUGCAGUAUUCUUGCCUGAGAAAUCCCAUGGACAGAGGAGCCUGGGGGGCUAGUCCAUGAGGUUGCAAGAGUCAGACACAACUGAGCAACUGGAUCACCACCACCACUUCUUUCAUCAUUCAGAGAGGAUUGUCACAUCCAUUUAUACAUACUGAGGCUCAGAGAAAAGCAGUCCAUCAAAUCAUAGGAAGGCAUGUAAGGAUAUAAGGAGAAGACGGCAGUCUGCAGCACAGAAGAGGGCCCUCAGCAGAAUGUGACCGUGCUGGCACCCUGAUUUUGGACUUUCACCCUUCAGAACUGUGAAAAAUAAAUUCCUAUUGUUUAUAAUCCA